UCCAGACUCCUACGGGAGGCAGCAGUGGGGAAUAUUGCACAAUGGGGGAAACCCUGAUGCAGCGACGCCGCGUGAGUGAAGAAGUAUUUCGGUAUGUAAAGCUCUAUCAGCAGGAACGAGACAAGACGGUACCUGACUAAGAAGCCCCGGCUAACUACGUGCCAGCAGCCGCGGUAAUACGGAGGAUGCGAGCGUUAUCCGGAUUUAUUGGGUUUAAAGGGUGCGCAGGCGGCGUGUCAAGUCAGCGGUAAAAUGUCGGGGCUCAACCCCGGCCGGCCGUUGAAACUGGCGUGCUCGAGUUGGAGAGAAGUAUGCGGAAUUCGUGGUGUAGCGGUGAAAUGCAUAGAUAUCACGCAGAACUCCGAUUGCGAAGGUAGCGUACCGGCGCCCAACUGACGCUCAUGCACGAAAGCGUGGGUAUCGAACAGGAUUAGAUACCCCAGUAG
rnacentral:rRNA from 1 species